GUGGAUACAGAGGGCGGCCGCUGCAACAUCGGUCCAAUCCUUAAAGUUCAUCCUCAGUUCGGACUGGGGUCUGCAACCCGACCCCACGAAGCUGGAUUCGCUAGUAAUCGCGCAUCAGCCAUGGCGCGGUGAAUACGUUCCCGGGCCUUGUACACACCGCCCGUCAAGCCAUGAAAGCCGGGGGGCGCCUGAAGUCCGUGACCGCGAGGGUCGGCCUAGGGUGAAACCGGUGAUUGGGGCUAAGUCGUAACAAGGUAUC
rnacentral:rRNA from 1 species